rnacentral:rRNA from 1 species
GACGAACGCUGGCGGCGUGCCUAAUACAUGCAAGUCGAACGAACCGCGACUAAGUGCUUGCACUAAGUCAAGGUGAGUGGCGAACGGGUGAGUAACACGUGGGUAGCCUACCUCAUAGUGGGGGAUAACAGUCGGAAACGACUGCUAAUACCGCAUAGGACAUAGGAUCACAUGAUCCAGUGAGGAAAGGUGGCGCAAGCUAUCGCUAAGAGAUGGACCCGCGGUGCAUUAGCUAGUUGGUAGGGUAAAGGCCUACCAAGGCGAUGAUGCAUAGCCGACCUGAGAGGGUGAUCGGCCACAUUGGGACUGAGACACGGCCCAAACUCCUACGGGAGGCAGCAGUAGGGAAUCUUCCGCAAUGGACGCAAGUCUGACGGAGCAACGCCGCGUGAGUGAAGAAGGUCUUCGGAUCGUAAAGCUCUGUUGUUAGAGAAGAACAGCGCAUAGAGUAACUGCUAUGCGUGUGACGGUAUCUAACCAGAAAGCCACGGCUAACUACGUG